rnacentral:misc_RNA from 1 species
GAUGAAGAACGCAGCAAAAUGCGAUAAGUAAUGUGAAUUGCAGAAUUCAGUGAAUCAUCGAGUCUUUGAACGCACAUUGCGCCCCCUGGUAUUCCGGGGGGCAUGCCUGUCCGAGCGUCAUUGCUGCCCUCAAGCACGGCUUGUGUGUUGGGCCCCCGCCCCCCGGCUUCGGGGGGCGGGCCCGAAAGGCAGCGGCGGCACCGCGUCCGGUCCUCGAGCGUAUGGGGCUUCGUCACCCGCUCUGUAGGCCCGGCCGGCGCCCGCCGGCGACCCCAAUCAAUCUUUCCAGGUUGACCUCGGAUCAGGUAGGGAUACCCGCUGAACUUAAGCAUAUCAAUAAGCGGAGGA